rnacentral:rRNA from 1 species
GACGAACGCUGGCGGCGUGCCUAAUACAUGCAAGUAGAACGCACAGUUUAUACCGUAGCUUGCUACACCAUAGACUGUGAGUUGCGAACGGGUGAGUAACGCGUAGGUAACCUGCCUGGUAGCGGGGGAUAACUAUUGGAAACGAUAGCUAAUACCGCAUAAUAUUAAUUAUUGCAUGAUAAUUAAUUGAAAGGUGCAAUUGCACCACUACCAGAUGGACCUGCGUUGUAUUAGCUAGUAGGUGAGGUAACGGCUCACCUAGGCGACGAUACAUAGCCGACCUGAGAGGGUGAUCGGCCACACUGGGACUGAGACACGGCCCAGACUCCUACGGGAGGCAGCAGUAGGGAAUCUUCGGCCAUGGACGAAAGUCUGACCGAGCAACGCCGCGUGAGUGAAGAAGGUUUUCGGAUCGUAAAGCUCUGUUGUAAGAGAAGAACGGGUGUGAGAGUGGAAAGUUCACACUGUGACGGUAUCUUACCAGAAAGGGACGGCUAACUACGUG